UACGAAGGGGGCUAGCGUUGCUCGGAAUCACUGGGCGUAAAGCGCACGUAGGCGGGUUGUUAAGUCGGGGGUGAAAUCCUGGAGCUCAACUCCAGAACUGCCUUCGAUACUGGCGACCUUGAGUCCGGGAGAGGUGAGUGGAACUCCGAGUGUAGAGGUGAAAUGCGCAGAUAUCAGGAAGAACACCCGUGGCGAAGGCGGCUCUCUGGUACGUGACUGACGCUGAGACGCGAAAGCGUGGGGAGCGAACCGG
rnacentral:rRNA from 1 species